rnacentral:rRNA from 1 species
GAGCACGUAGGUGGGUUUGUAAGUCAGAUGUGAAAGCCUUCUGUUCAACGGAAGAAUAGCAUCUGAAACUGCGAGUCUUGAGUGUAGGAGGGGAGAAUGGAACUUCUGGUGGGGCGGUGAAAUGCGUAGAUAUCAGAAGGAACGCCGGCGGCGAAAGCGAUUCUCUGGCCUAUUACUGACACUCAGUGUGCGAAAGCUAGGGGAGCAAACGGGAUUAGAUACCCCGGUAGUCCUAGCCGUAAACGAUGGGCACUAAGUAGAGGGGUUUU